UACGGAGGGUGCAAGCGUUGUCCGGAUUUAUUGGGUUUAAAGGGUGCGUAGGCGGUUUAAUAAGUCAGUGGUGAAAGCCGGCAGCUCAACUGUCGAAUUGCCAUUGAUACUGUUAAACUUGAGUAUGGUUGAGGUGGUUGGAAUGAGUAGUGUAGCGGUGAAAUGCAUAGAUAUUACUCAGAACACCGAUUGCGAAGGCAGAUCACUAAGCCAUAACUGACGCUGAGGCACGAAAGUGUGGGGAUCAAACAGGAUUAGAUACCCUGGUAGUCCACACUGUAAACGUUGGAUACUCGAUGCACGCGAUAGACAGUGUGUGUCCAAGGGAAACCGAUAAGUAUCCCACCUGGGAAGUACGCCCGCAAGGGUGAA
rnacentral:rRNA from 1 species